GUUAUGGCGUUUUUUCAAAAAACGUCGUUUUAAAGGUUUUCAAAAUAUUUUUGUAAAUAACUCAUUUUAAAAAACACGCGUGUUUUGGUGUACGAACAUAUUUUUCCUUUUAAGACCCACGCGUUUUUCAUUCUUCUAUUCUAUUUCACGCAGCAAUUGAUAGAUCUAGGUUUUCUAUCUCUUCAUCACUCCUCUUUCUUAUGUUGAAAGGUCACUAGAUCGAGCUUCGUAGGCUCCGAUUCACGAUCUGGUUCUCUCCAUCUUGGCUCAAAGCUCUCGAUCAGUCCGGUUUGAAGAUUAAUUUUAGUCACAGAACCACCAUCACAACCAUACUGUGUCAAUCUUUGCAGCGAUGUCAAUCUUUGCGUUUGUGCUUGAACAAGUUUGGCUAGAACAGAACUGUGUUGCGUAUAGUCACAAUUGAGGCAAGGUUUUGGAGGCAGUUUCAAUUUCAAGACUGCUAUGUAGUUCCAAAUCCCCCACUCCUUUAGUUUCUUGGAGGAAAUCAUCCUUGGGAGUGGUCAAAACUUUGUAUUAGAGGUUAAGAAUCAUUGAUUAGAGGAAACGAAAACCUGUUGAGAAAUGUUAACAAUCCUUUCUACUUUUGUUUUGAUGUUUCAAAGAUAUGUUGUUGCUGAGGACACUUAAGUUUAACUGAAGUUUAAUAUCUUCCAAUGUAAUAGUUUUUAUUUAUUAUUUUUUUAUAAUACUGGAAACUGGUUAUUAGACCAUGGUAUUUAUCAUUAAUG